rnacentral:lncRNA from 1 species
ACAUGCAUCAUACUUGGUUGUGCAUCAUGCCAUGUUCAUGUGUUGGUUGUUUACUAUGUUGUGUGCUUCUUUUCGGUGUUGCUUCUUCGGGUUGGUUCCGAUAACGUCGCGUUUGUGAGGAUUCGUUCGACUUCGUCCGCUUGCCUUCUUCAUGGACUCGUUCUUCUUCCUUGCGGGAUUUCAGGCAAGAUGAUAAUACCCUCAAAAUCACUUCUAUCUUUUCUUGCAUAGUUGCUUGCUCUAUUGCUAUGCCGCGAUACCUACCACUUGCUAUAUCAUGCCUCCCAUAUUGCCAUGUCAAGCCUCUAACCCACCUUACCUAGCAAACCGUUGUUUGGCUAUGUUACCGCUUUGCUCAACCCCUCUUAUAGCGUUGCUAGUUGCAGGUGAAGUUGGAGUUUGUUCCAUGUUUAGAACAUGGAUAUUGUUGGGAUAUCACUAUAUAUAUUUUGUUUAAUUAAUGCAUCUAUAUACUUGGUAAAGGGUGGAAGGCUCGGCCUUAUGCCUGGUGUUUUGUUACACUCUUGCCGCCCUAGUUUCCGUCAUACCGGUGUUAUGUUCCUUGAUUUUUGCGUUCCUUACACGGUUGGGUGUUAUGGGGACCCCUUGACAGUUUGCUUUGAAUAAAACUCCUCCAGCAAGUCCCAACCUUGGUUUUACCAUUUACCUCACCACCACCUACUUUUCCCUUGGGAGUCGCUCUCUCGAGGGUCAUUUUUAUUUUAAGCCCCCCCGGGCCAGUGCUUGUGUAAGUGUUGGUCCGAGCUAGAGUCCUUUGCAACGCCACCUCGGGGAAACUUGAGGGUUGGUUUUAUUUGUACGGAGCGCUCAUCCGGUGUUGCCCUGAGAAUGAGAUAUGUGCAGCUCCUAUUGGGAUGUCGGUGCAUCGGGCGGUCUUGCUGGUCUUGUUUUACCAUUGUCGAAAUGUUUUGUAACCAGGAUUCCGAGCCUGAUCGGGUCUUCCUGGGAGAAGGAAUAUCCUUCGUUGACUGUGAGAGCUUGUGAUGGGCUAAGUUGGGACACCCCUGCAGGGUUUUGAACUUUCGAAAGCCGUGCCCGCGGUUAUGGGCAGAUGGGAAUUUGUUAAUAUCCGGUUGUAGAGAACUUGAAACUCGACUUAAUUAAAAUGCAUCAACCGCGUGUGUAGCCGUGAUGGUCUCUUUCCGGCGGAUUCCGGGAAGUGAACACGGCGUUGGAGUUAUGCUUGAACAUAAGUAGUUUCAGGAUCACUUCUUGAUCACUUCUAGUUCACGACCGUGCUUUGCCUCCUCUUCUCGCUCUCAUUUGCGUAAGUUAGCCACCAUAUAUGCUAGUGCUUGCUGCAGCUCCACCUCAUACCUUUUUCCCUACCCAUAAGCUUAAAUAGUCUUGAUCGCGAGGGUGUGAGAUUGCUGAGUCCCCGUGACUCACAUAUUACUUCCAAAACCAGUUGCAGGUGCCGUUGAUACCAGUGCAGAUGACGCAACCCAGCUCAAGUGGGAGCUCGAUGAAGAUCUUGUUCGUUGUGUCAUUUCGUUUGCAGUUGAUUAGUAGUGGAGCCCAGUCGGGGCGAUCGGGGAUCUUUUGCAUUAUGGGUAGUAUUCUUUUAUUUUGGUUCCAUAGUCGGACCUUGUUUGUAUCUGGUUGAUGUAAUGAUUUAUUCAUGUAUUGUGUGAAGUGGCGAUUGUAAGCCAACUCUGUACCUCUUUCUUAUUCAGUACAUGGGAUGUGUAAAGAUUACCCC